UUCGUAGGCGGCCUGCCAAGUCAGAGGUGAAAUCUAACGGCUUAACCGUUAACCUGCCUUUGAAACUGGCAGACUUGAGUAUUGGAGAGGAAAGCGGAAUUCUUGGUGUAGCGGUGAAAUGCGUGGAUAUCAAGAGGAACACCCGUGGCGAAGGCGGCUUUCUGGCCAAAUACUGACGCUGAGGAACGAAAGCUAGGGGAGCAAACG
rnacentral:rRNA from 1 species